rfam:Mus musculus chromosome 3, GRC primary reference assembly.
CUAACGGCCCUUUUUAGGGCCAACCACAGUCUCUUCAGGAGAGCUG